rnacentral:rRNA from 1 species
CGCCGCCUUUUUUUAAAAACAUCGCCUUCUGAUAAAACAUAGAAGGUCCAGCCUGCCCUGUGAAAUUUUUAACGGCCGCGGUAUCUUAACCGUGCAAAGGUAGCGUAAUCACUUGUCUUUUAAAUGAAGACCCGUAUGAAAGGCAUCACGAGAGUUUAACUGUCUCUACUUUCUAAUCAAUGAAAUUGAUCUCUCCGUGCAGAGGCGGAGAUAAAAACAUUAGACGAGAAGACCCUAUGGAGCUUCAAACACUUAAAUUAAUUAUGUAAAAUAUAAUAUUCCAAGGAUAUAAAUAAAUAAUAUAAUAUUUCUAAUUUAAUAUGUUUUUGGUUGGGGUGACCAAGGAGAAAAAUUAAUCCUCCUAAUCGAUUGAGUACUCAAAUACUUAAAAAUCAGAAUGACUAUUCUGAAUGAUAAUAUAUUUAUCGAAAUAUGACCCAGGACUUACCUGAGCAAUGAACCAAGUUACCCUAGGGAUAACAGCGCAAUCCUUUCCCAGAGUCCUUAUCGACGAAAGGGUUUACGACCUCGAUGUUGGAUCAGGACAUCCUAAUGGUGCAACCGCUAUUAAGGGUCGUUGUCAACGAUGACCUCAA